UACGUAGGGUGCGAGCGUUAUUCGGAAUUAUUGGGCGUAAAGGGCGCGUAGGCGGCCUGGCAAGUGGAAGGUGAAAUCCCUCGGCUUAACCGAGGAACUGCCCUCCAAACUGCUUGGCUUGAGUCCGGGAGAGGUGAGUGGAAUUCCCAGUGUAGCGGUGAAAUGCGUAGAUAUUGGGAGGAACACCAGUGGCGAAGGCGGCUCACUGGACCGGAACUGACGCUGAGGCGCGAAAGCGUGGGGAGCAAACGGG
rnacentral:rRNA from 1 species